rnacentral:rRNA from 1 species
UACGUAGGGUGCGAGCGUUAAUCGGAAUUACUGGGCGUAAAGCGUGCGCAGGCGGUUGGUUAAGUCUGAUGUGAAAGCCCCGGGCUCAACCUGGGAAUGGCAUUGGAAACUGGCUGGCUAGAGUGUGGCAGAGGGGGGUGGAAUUCCGCGUGUAGCAGUGAAAUGCGUAGAGAUGCGGAGGAACACCGAUGGCGAAGGCAGCCCCCUGGGCUAACACUGACGCUCAGGCACGAAAGCGUGGGGAGCAAACAGG